rnacentral:rRNA from 1 species
AACGUAGGACGCAAGCGUUAUCCGGAGUUACUGGGCGUAAAGCGCGGGCAGGCGGCCCGUUCAGUCUGAGGUGAAAGCGCCCGGCUCAACCGGGCGAGGCCCUUGGAAACUGGCGGGCUGGAGGGCAGUAGAGGCAGGCGGAAUUCCGGGUGUAGCGGUGGAAUGCGUAGAGAUCCGGAAGGACACCGGUGGCGAAGGCGGCCGUGCUGGGCAGCUGAGCUGACACUGAGGCGCGACAGCGUGGGGAGCAAACAGG